rnacentral:rRNA from 1 species
CCUACGGGCGGCAGCAGUGAGGAAUAUUGGUCAAUGGACGAAAGUCUGAACCAGCCAAGUCGCGUGAAGGAUGACUGCCCUAUGGGUUGUAAACUUCUUUUGUAAGGGAGUAAAAGGAGGUACGUGUCCCUUUCUGAAAGUAACCUAUGAAUAAGGAUCGGCUAACUCCGUGCCAGCAGCCGCGGUAAUACGGAGGAUUCAAGCGUUAUCCGGAUUUAUUGGGUUUAAAGGGUGCGUAGGUGGGGGGUUAAGUCAGUUGGGAAAGUGUGGGGCUCAACCGCAGAAUUGCAAUUGAUACUGGCUGUCUUGAGUGGAGUUGAGGUAGGCGGAAUGCGUGGUGUAGCGGUGAAAUGCUUAGAUAUCACGAAGAACCCCGAUUGCGAAGGCAGCUUACCAAGCUGUUACUGACGUUGAGGCACGAAAGUGUGGGUAUCAAACAGGAUUAGAUACCCUUGUAGUC